CAUCAACACCAGUCACAACAUCAACACCAGUCACAACAGCAACACCAGUCACAACAGCAACAACAUCAUCACAAAUCACAACCGCAAAGUCGUCAACACCAGUAACAAAACCAAUAACAACAGCAACAAGACCAGCUUCCAAAGAAAUCUUUAAAGUGACUGUGAGGGAACAUCAAUCUGAUGAUAUGCCACUGGUUGGGCAAAGAAUUGAACAUACAUGGAAAGUUGGAAGAAAGAAAGUCAUUUAUUCAGGAAUAGUCACAGAUCUACUGAAGGGGGAGGAGGGGGCCAUAGACACUGUUUAUCGAGUCAGGUACGACUGUGGUGACAUCGAGGAAUUGGACUUAUACAAAGAUCUGCAUGAUGGUUCCCUUAGACUCAUCAGUUAAAUUACUGAAAUGUGCGAUAUCAAUGAUCUGGGCGUUUAGCAUGUUGUUUUAGCAUACUUAAUUAUUAAAUGUAUGUGUUUAAAUGAUUAAUAUUAUGUUGGUCAUAUUUGUCUUUGUAUAUAAUGUUUGUUGAUAUCCUGUUGUAAAUAUAUUCUUUGUAUAUAAUGUUUGUUGAUAUCCUGUUGUAAAUAUGUUCUUUGUAUAUAUGUUUGUUGAUAUCCUGUUGUAAAUAUGUUGUGCUCUUCAAUAAUGGCUGAAUAAAAUGUAUAGAUCUAUCUAUACUCAACAAGAAAC
rnacentral:lncRNA from 1 species